ACGCAAUACAAGCCACACGAUAUAUUUUUCCGUGAGAAGAGGAUUUGUGACACGAAUGUGAUAAUUUAGAAGUUUUUGUUAUUAAAAAGUAAAUUCACUCGGGUUAUUGAUCCAUAUACUCUUUAUACAUAUAAAGACAAAGUGUGGCAAUUAUUGCAUACAAGCAUUUUGUAUGGGCUCGAUACAACGAUUAUCGGCUUGCUUAAUCUUCUAAAAACUCUGUUUGGGAGGAUAAUUUUUCUAAACAAGGCACCCCACUUUUUUAUAGGUUCUUUUUAAAAGCCUGUCAAGAUUUUUUUUUACAAACUCUCAUAUUUGCUGGGUUGGUUUCUUUAGUAAUUAGUUAUUGUUUUGGAGAACCCCACAUUCUUGAAUUUAUGGAUGCACUGGUUAUUUAAGCUGCCGUUAUCAUUCUUAUCUUAGUGAUAUCGCUAAAGAACUACUGGAGAGAAAGGGUGUUGGCUACUUUUUUUGAUCCUUUUUUUUUGAAUUGGUUUCGAUGGUAAUCCAUUGUGAAACAUAUGCUUUACAGAAAAUCGACUAUUGUUCCGUCCUACGGGACGGCAAAUCGCAGAAAUUAUAGAUAGAUGGUGUCUUAGUAGGUGACGUUAUUAUUGUGGAAACAGGAGACGAAAUGCUAGUGAUACUUAUAGUAUGUCUGUAUAAUAAUAUCAAUAAAAAAUGUGAUUUGUUUCAUUGUCGGAUUGAGGAUGGUUUGUUCUCAAAUAGAAUUGUAUUGUGUUGAAUUUUUAUGGACUUUCGGUUGAUGAGUCUUCAAUGACAGGUUUUUUCUUGUAUAGAACUCUACAUAAUGUCUUAAAUGGAUGUGUAAACAACUGUAGGAGAGUCUUUGUGUACUCCGUAAUAUUCUAUCCCCCCGGUAAUACAAAAACAUUCCAUCAAUUAGGAUCUCGUCACUACCAUUUGGGUGGCGACCAUCCAUUUUUUUCUAAUGCUUAAGGAGCUUAGUGUCUUUUGAUUCAAGUGGAGUACUUUUGUGUGUUCCCUUGUUCAGUUGCAAUUUUUUUGUCUUGAUGGGAUUUACUUAGUAAAAACAAACAACCCUUUCUUUUUUCAAAAAGGUUCUUAUGUUGAAUCUGCUACGGCAAAACUUAUGGUGAUUGCUGUUGGGUUGCAGUGUCAGGUAACGGUUGUUUUGUCUUACUUGUGAAACGUCUAAAAACAGAUUUACUUGGUUUUUCAAAAUCACAAGAGUAGCAUUGAAUAACUAUUUAGUAAUUUUUUAACACACUUCACCCUUGAUUGUAAUAAGGGAUAGGUUUUAUUCGUGAAAAAGAAUACGCUACGUGGUCGACACUGAUUUCAGAUACUUUGAGUUUGGUAGCGCGAGAAGCAUUCUUAAGAAACAAUAGUAGCAGUCGGUACAUUUAUGGAGGGAGUCUAGUCAUGUUUUUUUUCAGAUAGGGAACGUUCGAGACAAAUGCAUGAUGGAUUCAGAACUAUCGAGUGUAAAAUUGAAGCUUGAUGAUGUGCGCCGAGUAUAGGAAAAAUAGUCGGAAUUGCGAAUGCGUUUAUUCUUUUGUACAAAUAUUGGAAGGUAAAAGAAAAGGUUAAAGAUUGUUGUUGCGUUAAUAAAGAAAAACUUUAAAUUUUUAUGAAAUUACUGACGUACGAAAAAGUUACAAGAAGAGAUCACGACAGGCGACAUUGUGUCGUAUCAUCUCCGUUUUUUUAUUGAAUUCCUAACAAUUCUUGUUGUGUGGGUUCCUGGGGGUUCACCUUUCUCCGUGACAUUGAUUUACUCAGUCAAUGGGUUAUUCAAGUAGGAGGAUUAUGUUCGACAUUUAGGAGCAUGUGAAACCGUAAAGGAAACGUCAGAUAUUUGUUUUGAUAAAAAAGGAACGGUGACCGAAAAUAAUAUGAAAAUGACAUUGCUUCGGAAUGGAACUCAAACGUAUUGUCAUUAAGAUCUCGCCUUAUUUUAAAAGCAAACAUGACUCAUUGGUUGUCUGGUAUUGACGUUGAAACAUAAUUUUAAUAGCAUUCUCCUAUAUGCCGUUAAAUAAAAAAUGCGUUUGUGAAGCGGUGUCAAGCAUUUGUGUGGACACAAUCGUUUUAUGUACAAAAACAGAUUACUCAAUGCCUACGCACAAAAGUGAAAGUAAACGAAGAAUGCUUUUUGGUGCUCAAACAGACUACGCCAUUCUCGACUUUGUCAAAAUAGAAUCAGACAAUAGUGUUUCAUUCAUUUCAUGUGGAAUAAACAUUAAGGAAUGGAAAUGUCACCAUUGCGAAGCUGAUUGACAACGUAGCCAAUACAGAAAUAAUGGAGCAGCAACAUUAAAUGGUUAUAUAGCAAUAAAAACGCUUGUGUUCAUAACAAAAGGGUCUAUAAAGUAAAAUAGUAGUACUUGUUCGGGCACUGGUAGAAGUCAUGUUGGUCAGUGCGUGUAUGGUGUACCAAUGAAAAGAAACUGAAUGUCCAAGUUACAGAGUUUUAUUUUGGUGUAGAUAAACUUGGAAGUGGAUAUGAAAAAAAAUUGGAUAGGAACGAAGAAAACAGAAACAAGUAAAUAGAUAUGGAUGAACAAAGACAAAAACAAUAUACUAAUGGUUCCUCGGGAUUUUACAUUGUUUGAAAAAUUCCUUUUGGUAGUAAUCAUGAGUCUAUGAUUACAUCGGUACGGUCUACAGAAGACACUAGACCCUUUCGUGUUUUUGUGAAUAGUGCGGCAGAUAGCGUGCUUCACUUUUACACUAAAACAGCGAAUCAACAUGGAAAGUUUACACCGUAAUAAAAAUCGGAAGGUUUCAGGAGGUUCAUGUUUCAAAUUAAUCUUGUCGAGGGAAAAAUUUGUUAAAGAGACAAAGAAAACAAUCGGAAUGUAUUUAUUGAGACAAAUACGCCACUUGAGUCUUCGUGGUUUUUGUAUCGCUUAUGAGGAUACGAGAGAGUGUAUUGACAAAACCGAGGUUCUAUGUAAGACAUUGUUAAACACUUAACGGUGCUUAGGACGUUUAGCGGCAUAAAGUUAUCAAAGUGAAAAUGUUUACUUUUUGCUGGGCUAAAGCAAGUUGAGUGUGUGAAAAGGAUGCUAUACGAAAUAAGCCCCUAGAAAUGCAAUAUGCUUGUAGAAAUCCAUUAAGGAAAGGAGUUGCAGAACCUAUUAGGCAAUGUCAGCGUACAGGGAUUCCCUUUGGGAUGAUAAUUGUUGAUAAUGUUGAAACAGUGACGAGGAUAGCUGAGCAAUGUCACAUUUACCCGUCUACUCGUUAGAAUUUUGCUUUAACCGGGGACGAGUUUUUUAAUUAAGGAUGAUGCAGCGUUUGUCAUGAAGUUUUAAUCUAUAGAACAUCCAAAGAAACUACCUAUAGUUAGAUUGAUCUUUCAAAAAAAAUGUGAUAGUCCAAAAAUUCUUUUGUUAUAGAAGAUAACAGGGUUAGUGAGUGUUGUACUAAAAGUCGUUCUACAAAGUUGAGUUAGAGAAGUGAGGAAAAAAGUAAAAUGCUUAAUAAAGUACAUAGUAGAGCAUUAGAUGGAUUGCUUAAAUGAAAAAAAGAAUACGAUUCUUGUCAAGAAGUUAUAACUCUUUUCUAAAUUUUCUUUAGUUGUAUAUUUCAGAUAGGAGGAAUUGUUUGUGAAACAUGUCGAACAGAGGUUUGUGAGUGUCUUUUUAAUAAAAAAGAGAAAGAAAAAUAUAGUAUUGGUAAUUAAGAUAUGAUUUUCAGUGAAGACGAUAUGGGUUGGUGUACAAUAGAUGCUUUGUUACUCAACACUAAAAGUGAGAUGUACUGGCAGAACACGUUAGGAAGAACAGCCAAUGGAUAGAUAGAUCAAAUAUACUGACAUGGUUUUGGCAAGGGCUAAAGGGGUAAGAAAGAAAAAGUACUCCAUGUUUCAAGAAAAAAGAAACGAUGAGAUCGUCGUCUAUACGUGUCGAUGUUGUUGGAAACAUUUAAGCUUUUUAAGAGAUAAAAGGUUGGUUAAAUUUGGUAGCGCGAGCUCAACCCAUUCAUAAAUACGCACUUGUGGUCGGGCUCAAAGCCUUAGGAUACGUAGUAGCAGUGCCUGGAGAUAAAGUGAACGAUGCUUGAUCUUCAAAAAAAGCUGAUGUUAGCGUUGCAACGGGUUUCUCAGAAAAAAAAAGUAGAAGAACAAGCCGCUGACAUAAUUUUAUUUGAUGAAAAGUUGGAAUCAAUUGUCAAAGCUGUUUUAUGGAAAAAGAAAUCUUUACAAAAAUAUUUCCCGAUUUCUACAUUUUCAUUUAACAGUAAAUGUUCCUGCCGUUCUCUUCAAAUCGUUCGGGACAUUGUGGUUAGGAGCGUCUUUAUUCACAACACCUCAAUUAUUGUGGGUCAAUUUAAUAAUGGAUACAGUGGCAUCCCUUGCUUGGGCAGCCAAACCUCCUUCGUGAAUUCAAUUAAACAGCCCCCUUGUUCAAAGAUAGAUUCACUAGUGACGCAGGUAACCUGUAAUCGACAAUAAAAAGAAAAUUCUUUUUCCGUAAAAAGUGAUGGCAAGAGGUAUAUGCAUACAAGUCAUCUAUAAAAUCAGUAUAAAUAAUUUACUCUUGUGCAAUGGACCGUGUUGGAUUCCUAAAAAAUUUUCAACAAAUAAUCUCUAUUAAAAAGGGAUAAUGAUUUUUUCAAUGGAAUCAAUUAUGCGGAAAUAGUAAAACAAUAGCUUCAGCAAAUCAUAUAUGACUGUUUGACGCCAACAUUGUAUCGUGUAUAUAGUUUUAAACAGUAAUUAAAACAUGAUCUACUCCGGGCAUGUCUAACUGUGUCCCAACUUUUUUAAUCAGACUUACACAGUCGUCAUGGCGCCAUUGUGUUUAAUACGUUUGUUUGACUUCAAAUCAUAUGAUUGAUCAAUUCCAAGAAAAAACUCAGAUUCUUUACAACAUCAUGGACGGAAUUACGUUCAAAACAAUUAUGGUUCCCUCUUCUAAUAGCGAUUUGUUCCAUUGAAUAUUUUUUCAUUUAAUAUGGAAGACAAGCUUAAAAUUGUCAUUUAGAUGGACUUACACAUGUUUAGUGGACUGUUUGCCUGCUUCUUAGUAGUGCAAGUGCAUUGACAAUCUAAUUUUUCUUCUUCGAUACCCAUUUUCUUUGUUCCUUGUGCGUUUUCUUAUAACUGACGAGAAGUUACGUUUUACUUUAGAAUGAAAAAUUCCAAGUGGCUCUAAUCUUUACCAUCACUAUUUUUGUAGAACAUCACGUUCGACUGAAAACAAUCUAUUUAAAAACAUAGGUAGGAAUUUGUUAAUGGUACAAAGAGUGUAGAAAGCAGCGAGGUCUACGUAUCCCUCUAUUUAUGCACAACUAGAGUAUUGUAGAACAAAGUAAGCCUUAAUAAUUUAGAAUAAUACACGUUGGACUAUAAAAAUGGCCUUGUUAUACGUUUAUAUUUUCUUC